UACAGAGGUCUCAAGCGUUGUUCGGAUUCAUUGGGCGUAAAGGGUGUGUAGGUGGCGCGCUAAGUCGGGUGUGAAGUUUCGGAGCUUAACUCCGAAACUGCAUUCGAUACUGGGCGUGCUUGAGGACUGGAGAGGAGACUGGAAUUCAUGGUGUAGCAGUGAAAUGCGUAGAGAUCAUGAGGAAGACCAGUGGCGAAGGCGGGUCUCUGGACAGUUCCUGACACUGAGACACGAAGGCCAGGGGAGCAAACGGG
rnacentral:rRNA from 1 species